CAAUAUGGGAGAACUCCCCGGGAACUGGGGCCAAUUUUCGAUAGGUGAAGAACCCUGGAAUGGGUCUUCGCCCAAAAGGCGCUUGGAGCAUGCUUCUAGGCGUUGCCCAAGGAUGGGGCCGCGGCCGAUCAGGUUGUUGGUGAGGUAAUGGCUCACCAAGCCUUUAACCGGUACGGGCCGUGGGAGCGGUAGCCCGGAGAUGGGCACUGAGACAAGGGCCCAGGCCCUACGGGGCGCAGCAGUCGCGAAAACUUCGCAAUAGGCGAAAGCUUGACGAGGCCAUCCCGAGUGCCAUCUGCUGAGGAUGGCUUUUACCUAGUGUAGAUAGCUGGGGGAAUAAGGAGAGGGCAAGUCUGGUGUCAGCCGCCGCGGUAAUACCAGCUCUCCGAGUUGUGGGGAUGUUUAUUGGGCCUAAAGCAUCCGUAGCCGGCUGGGCAAGUCCUCUGUUAAACCCAGCGAUCAAUCGUUGGCUUGCGGGGGAUACUGUCCGGCUAGGGGGCGGGAGAGGCCGUCGGUAUUCUCGGGGUAGGGGUGAAAUCCUAUAAUCCCGGGAGGACCACCAGUGGCGAAGGCUGUCGGCUAGAACGCGCCCGACGGUGAGGGAUGAAAGCUGGGGGAGCGAACCGGAUUAGAUACCCGGGUAGUCCCAGCUGUAAACGAUGCAGGCUAGGUGUUAGGGCGGCUACGUGCCGCUCUAGUGCCGCAGGGAAGCUGUUAAGCCUGCCGCCUGGGGAGUACGGCCGCAAGGCUGAAACUUAAAGGAAUUGGCGGGGGAGCAC
rnacentral:rRNA from 1 species